GACGAGUCUCACAAACGUUAUUCGGAAUUACUGGGCUUAAAGGGUGCGUAGGCGGUGAAGUAAGUCGGAUGUGAAAUACCUUAGCUUAACUAGGGAACUGCACUCGAUACUACUUUGCUAGAGUAAGACAGAGGUGAGUGGAACUGAGGGUGGAGCGGUGAAAUGCGUUGAUAUCCUCAGGAACACCGGUGGCGAAGGCGACUCACUGGGUCUUUACUGACGCUGAUGCACGAAAGCUAGGGUAGCAAACAGG
rnacentral:rRNA from 1 species